CCUACGGGUGGCAGCAGUGGGGAAUAUUGGGCAAUGGGCGCAAGCCUGACCCAGCAACGCCGCGUGAAGGAAGAAGGCUUUCGGGUUGUAAACUUCUUUUCUCAGGGACGAAGAAAGUGACGGUACCUGAGGAAUAAACCACGGCUAACUACGUGCCCGCAGCCGCGGGAAUACGUAGGUGGCAAGCGUUAUCCGGAUUUAUUGGGUGUAAAGGGCGUGUAGGCGGGAGCGCAAGUCAGAUGUGAAACCUCAGGGCUCCACCCUGAGCCUGCAUUUGAAACUGUGUUUCUUGAGUUCUGGAGAGGCAAUCGGAAUUCCGUGUGUAGCGGUGAAAUGCGUAGAUAUACGGAGGAACACCAGUGGCGAAGGCGGAUUGCUGGACAGUAACUGACGCUGAGGCGCGAAAGCGUGGGGAGCAAACAGGAUUAGAUACCCCAGUAGUC
rnacentral:rRNA from 1 species